GUUCUUCUGUUCCUAAUAAUUAUAGGAAUAUCAUGAUAAUGCUUGUAUCUUCAAUAUCAAGCUCUCAUGCACGUAUCUUCUCUAUCAACUGAUCUUACAAGUACUAAAAUGAACUGUUUGUGAAAGUUUUAAUUUGGUAUCAAUAAUUUCACUUUUCCAGGAAAAGAAAACGUUGUAAUAAUUUGGUACCUAAUCAACAUAUGCAGAGG
rnacentral:lncRNA from 1 species